GGAGAGUACUGCUAAUGGGUAGCAACCGGCUUUGAAAACCGGAGUAGAUUUAUGUCUAGGGGUUCGAUUCCUCUACUCUCCUCCA
rnacentral:tRNA from 1 species